UUUUCAGCAUAAGUAUGUCCCAUGCAAUAUUUGGGACAUACUUGCACUAAAA
rfam:Camelus ferus unplaced genomic scaffold scaffold2228, whole genome shotgun sequence.